rnacentral:tRNA from 1 species
GCCCGUAGCUCAGUUGGAUAGAGCGUCUGGCUACGAACCAGAAGGUCGGCUGUUCGUCAGCCACCAGAAACGCAACAGAUUUCAUUACGUCAUUGCUACGCGCGGCUGCAACAAUUGUCCGUCGGCUCCA